GAUGAACGCUGGCGGCGUGCCUAAUACAUGCAAGUCGAGCGAACGGACGAGAAGCUUGCUUCUCUGAUGUUAGCGGCGGACGGGUGAGUAACACGUGGAUAACCUACCUAUAAGACUGGGAUAACUUCGGGAAACCGGAGCUAAUACCGGAUAAUAUUUUGAACCGCAUGGUUCAAAAGUGAAAGACGGUCUUGCUGUCACUUAUAGAUGGAUCCGCGCUGCAUUAGCUAGUUGGUAAGGUAACGGCUUACCAAGGCAACGAUGCAUAGCCGACCUGAGAGGGUGAUCGGCCACCCGGGAACUGAGACACGGUCCAGACUCCUACGGGAGGCAGCAGUAGGGAAUCUUCCGCAAUGGGCGAAAGCCUGACGGAGCAACGCCGCGUGAGUGAUGAAGGUCCUCGGAUCGUAAAACUCUGUUAUUAGGGAAGAACAUAUGUGUAAGUAACUGUGCACAUCUUGACGGUACCUAAUCAGAAAGCCACGGCUAACUACGUG
rnacentral:rRNA from 1 species